AACGCACAUUGCGCCCGAGGCUUGUCCAAGGGCAUGUCUGCCUGAGCGUCUGUGAAACCUUUUCAACCCUUGCAUGGGUUUACAUGGCUGUCCGUGGACUUGUGCCUGGUCGGCUUCAUAGAAUGUGUUGUGCUGGUUUUCCCCUGGUUAUUUUACCGGUGUUAUCUCUUCUCUGGCACAAUGCUCGGUGUUAAAACCCCAAUAGACCUCAGGUCAGGCAGGACUACCCGCUGAGUUUAA
rnacentral:misc_RNA from 1 species